rnacentral:rRNA from 2 species
AGCAGCCGCGGUAAUUCCAGCUCCAAUAGCGUAUAUUAAAGUUGCUGCAGUUAAAAAGCUCGUAGUUGAAUUUCGGGACCAUCAUGUCGGUCGUGCCUCGGUACGUACUGGCAUUGUUGGUUUCUACCUUCUGACGAACCAUGAUGUCAUUUAUUUGGUGUCGUGGGAAAUCAGGACUGUUACUUUGAAAAAUUAGAGUGUUUAAAGCAGGCUCACGCUUGAAUACAUUAGCAUGGAAUAAUGAAAUAGGACGUUUGAUUCUAUUUUGUUGGUUUCUAGGAUCGACGUAAUGAUUAAUAGGGAUAGUUGGGGGCAUUAGUAUUCAAUUGUCAGAGGUGAAAUUCUUGGAUUUAUUGAAGACUAACUACUGCGAAAGCAUUUGCCAAGGAUGUUUUCAUUAAUCAAGAACGAAAGUUAGGGGAUCGAAGACGAUCAGAUACCGUCGUAGUC